GGGCCGGAAAGGAACUUAACCCAUCGUUGCUGGGGGCUGUCGCUCCUUACCGGGCCGUCGCGCCUUACAAAGAGGAAUGAUUGUUGGUUUUUUUUUUUUUUAAUGAAUGGAGGGCGGCGGCAAGCAGCAGCUGCAGCUGGAUCAGCUGCGCGUGCUGUACCCCACCCGGCCUGGGAAAGAAGGGGAACCUGGCAGAGCUGGAUGUCCCUGCCUGUUGUUGUGGCUGUUACUGAUGGAUGAUGCAGAUGAUGAAGAUUUCACUUCAAGUCUCAACACGGUGUUCCAGCAUGGGAUGCAGCAAGGAUACCAAAGAUACAAUGAACUGGACCCAGGACUGAAUGGAAGGAGAAAAGGGAUGGCCUUUGAGAAACUGAAGAUAUAUAUUUUUUUAAUAAUCCCAUAUUUCUCUAUGAAAUAAAGUCUUCAUCUAUGUUGUUUUUCCUGAAAUAUUCUGGAUAUUUAUCAUCUAUAGAGAUUCCCUCUUUUAUUUGUACUCUGACUUUUGCAUCUAUCAUGACUUUAGC
rnacentral:lncRNA from 1 species